GUCUUUUAUAGCUUAAACUAAAGCAUUACUUUGAAGUAGUAAGGAUAAGUAACACUUUAAAGACA
rnacentral:tRNA from 1 species